rnacentral:rRNA from 1 species
UACGGAGGUGGCGAGCGUUGUUCGGAAUUACUGGGCGUAAAGCGCGCGUAGGCGGCCGAUCAAGUCAGGAGUGAAAUCCCCGGGCUCAACCUGGGAACUGCUUUUGAAACUGGUAGGCUGGAGUCCGGCAGAGGAUGGCGGAAUUCCCCGUGUAGAGGUGAAAUUCGUAGAUAUGGGGAGGAACACCAGAGGCGAAGGCGGCCAUCUGGACCGGUACUGACGCUGAGGCGCGAAAGCGUGGGGAGCGAACAGG